GAUGAACGCUGGCGGCGUGCCUAAUACAUGCAAGUCGAGCGAACAGACGAGGAGCUUGCCCCUCUGACGUUAGCGGCGGACGGGUGAGUAACACGUGGAUAACCUACCUAUAAGCCUGGGAUAACUUCGGGAAACCGGAGCUAAUACCGGAUAAUAUAUUUAACCACAUGGUUCAAGAGUGAAAGACGGUUUUGCUUUCACCAAUAGAGGUACCGGGUCCGCAUUAUCUGUUUGGGAGGUUAACGGCAUACAAAGGGAACGAUGCUAAGCCGACGUGAGAGGGAUCUCCGACACACUGGAACUGAGACACGGCCCAGUCUCAUACGGGAGGCAGGAAGAGGAAAUCUGCCGAAGGGCGCGAGAGCUUGCCGGCGCCGCGCCGCGUGAGUGAUGAAGGUCUGCGGAUUGUAAAACUCUGUUAUUAGGGAAGAACAAAUGUGUAAGUAACGAUGCACGUCUUGCCGGUACCUACCCAGAAAGCCCCGGCAACUUACGU
rnacentral:rRNA from 1 species